UUCUUGACGACCAUAGAGCAUUGGAACCACCUGAUCCCAUCCCGAACUCAGUAGUGAAACGAUGUAUCGCCGAUGGUAGUGUGGGGUUUCCCCAUGUGAG
rnacentral:rRNA from 1 species